rnacentral:rRNA from 1 species
UACGUAGGGACCAAGCGUUGCUCGGAAUUACUGGGCGUAAAGCGCACGUAGGCGGAUUGUUAAGUCGGGGGUGAAAUCCUGGAGCUCAACUCCAGAACUGCCUUUGAUACUGAAGAUCUUGAGUUCGGGAGAGGUGAGUGGAACUGCGAGUGUAGAGGUGAAAUUCGUAGAUAUUCGCAAGAACACCAGUGGCGAAGGCGGCUCACUGGCCCGAUACUGACGCUGAGGCACGAAAGCGUGGGGAGCAAACAGG